rnacentral:rRNA from 1 species
UACGUAGGGGGCAAGCGUUGUCCGGAUUUAUUGGGCGUAAAGAGCGUGUAGGCGGCUUGACAAGUCUGCUGUGAAAACUCGAGGCUCAACCUCGAGCUGUCGGUGGAAACCAUCUGGCUAGAGUCCGGAAGAGGAGAAUGGAAUUCCCGGUGUAGCGGUGAAAUGCGCAGAUAUCGGGAAGAACACCCGUGGCGAAGGCGGUUCUCUGGGACGGUACUGACGCUGAGACGCGAAAGCGUGGGGAGCGAACAGG